rnacentral:lncRNA from 1 species
UGCGCCUGCAAAGAGGAGAGAUCAGAGGACAUUUACAAAAUCACAGUCCUCCCACGGUGGUGGGAAAAGUUCAUCUGCUCCUGCCUCCGCUAAGGGCGACUUGGAGACGGACCUCUGAUCUCCCGGUUCCACUUCAGUGAGCGCUCAGCACGGCGGCUGUCAUUUGCAGACACUGAAGAGUGCGCUAAUAGAAUCACAGCCCUCGUUAGCUACUGAAUAAAAGAUCAAUCACAGACUUUGAAAGCUCCUGCUACCAGCUUCCAGAGGAAACAAGAAAAAAAAAAAAGAGCGUGAGCAAGAGAGAAAGAUAUUUAGGAUCAUCGCUGAGAUUCUGAAUGGCCUCGCUGCAAGUUGCUUAAAUUACCUUUUCCACAACUGACUCCAACUGUAAUACUCAGAGGAACUUGUUAAGCCUGCCUUCAAGAGCAGCAUUCUAAUAUAUGACUGCUAGACCCUGGUCAAAAGUUCAUAAUGUGCAUAUGUAAAAAGGUACUAAAUUGCCUGAGGGCUAAAACCAGAGGAGUUUAAUUGUAGCAAAAUGCUGAAAAUGGUCUGUUGAGGGUCCUUCCAUUGGGAUACUGCUGGCUCUAGCUGAUUGAAGUACAGAACAUAAAAGUCUUACAACAAUAUUUCCUUAAAUGCUGGGGAAACUGCCAGCAGUUGGUAUUGCAUGAAUGUUGUGGUUAAAGAAAAACAUUUUCCUCCCCUAAAAUAAAUAGAGUAUUAAAAACUGCUCCAGCCCAUAAUUCUAAAGCAUGACGGGAAAAGGGAGGGCUCGACGAUCAUAAAUAAGGUAUAAUUCAUAGGGCAUGUCCAAUCGACUUGCAGUGUAUUUUUACAUGGGGCACAUUGAAGGUAUUCAGGCG